rnacentral:misc_RNA from 1 species
UCCCCGUUAACCGGGGCAGUCCCCCUAGAGUUCCCGGCCUGACCCGUUGGCAACUAGGGGCGAGGGUUGCGCUCGUUGCGGGACUUAACCCAACACCUCACGGCACGAGCUGACGACGGCCAUGCAGCAGCUGUGCAUGCUCCCUUGCAGGUCGGUCACCUUUCGGAUCCCUACCACAUGCAUGUCAAACCCAGGUAAGGUUCUUCGCGUUGCAUCGAAUUAAACCACACGCUCCGCUGCUUGUGCGGGCCCCCGUCAAUUCCUUUGAGUUUUAAUCUUGCGACCGUACUCCCCAGGCGGAUGACUUCACGCGUUAGCUGCGUUACUAAGGGAUUUAACUCCCCCAACAACUAGUCAUCAUCGUUUAGGGCGUGGACUAC